ACGACAAUACAUGAUUGUCAGAUCAGAGCUCCGCCCCUCAGCAACACGAAUGACACAAGUAUCGACCAAUAAGGAGCGCCGGCGCAGAUCAAACACCAAUCAUAUUUCAGGUCUCUUGGGUGGGGUUUCUCCCGUCAUUAUCUUGGAGCCAGAUCUUCUCCAGCGCCGCGGUCUGGUGCCAGGGAGUCCGGCAGACCCUCAGGGACCGGAGACGGACAGACGCACAGACCAGUGCUGCAGCUGUCCGGGGUGUUUGCAGUUUCUUCCUCCAGCGUCUCACAUGAGGUCCAUCAGGGAAGACGCCUGUAAAGGCUGAUUCAGACACAGAGGAGUUUGCUCUGUUUCCACAAAAGCUUUCAUCAGAAAGGAGUCUGCUUACCUCAA